GAAACGCGAUAGUUAAUGUGAAUUGCAGAAUUCAGUGAAUCAUCGAGUCUUUGAACGCACCUUGCGCUCCUUGGUAUUCCUAGGAGCAUGCCUGUUUGAGUGUUAUGAAACCUUCAACUCUACCAAUUUUCUCACGAAGAUUAGGUAGCUGUUGGACUUGGGCUUGCCGUUCACCUGGCUCGCCUCAAAAAUAUUAGCUGGAACCCUAUGCCAUAUUGGUUCGACUCGACGUGAUAAGUAUCUUCGUCGGGGCUUGAGAACUGAUUGCCAGUGCUGGAAAGUUCUGCUUCCAACUUCGUUGCGCAUGACUUCGGUUGUGAGCAUCACUAUUUAACGCUCUAGCCUCAAAUCAGGUAGGAUUACCCGCUGAACUUAA
rnacentral:misc_RNA from 1 species